GAUGAACGCUGGCGGCGUGCCUAACACAUGCAAGUCGAGCGAUUCUCUUCGGAGAAGAGCGGCGGACGGGUGAGUAACGCGUGGGUAACCUGCCCUGUACACACGGAUAACAUACCGAAAGGUAUGCUAAUACGAGAUAAUAUGCUUUUAUCGCAUGGUAGAAGUAUCAAAGUUUUUGCGGUACAGGAUGGACCCGCGUCUGAUUAGCUAGUUGGUAAGGUAACGGCUUACCAAGGCGACGAUCAGUAGCCGACCUGAGAGGGUGAUCGGCCACAUUGGAACUGAGACACGGUCCAAACUCCUACGGGAGGCAGCAGUGGGGAAUAUUGCACAAUGGGCGAAAGCCUGAUGCAGCAACGCCGCGUGAGCGAUGAAGGCCUUCGGUCGUAAGCUCUGUCCUCAAGAAGAUAAUGACGGUACUUGAGGAGGAAGCCCGGCUACUACGUG
rnacentral:rRNA from 1 species